GGUGCGUUAGUUCAGUUGGUUAGAAUAUCUGCCUGUCACGCAGGGGGUCACGAGUUCGAGUCUCGUACGCACCG
rnacentral:tRNA from 1 species